AUGCUUAGUUUUAAUCAAUUCAAAAAAAAAAAAAAAAAAAAAAACCUCCCCCCAUUCUUAUGUUUCUGUCUAGAGAGGUUGUGUAUUUAAUGUUGCUAUUUUAAUUGGUGACUGUUGCUGUUAGAGAUACUUUUACAUGGGAUUAUUGCUUAUUUUUUGCUUAUGGAAUUACUGCUUGUCCUUCUAUUGAAUUUGGAGUUGCUGCUUUUUGUUUUUUUUUGCUAUUGAAUAUUUGGAAUUAUGUUAUUGAUGUGCCUGUUUGGAAUUAUGUUAUUGAUGUCCCUCUCUCACUCUCUACAUUCUUUUGUAUCGGAAACCUGUUACGUAACCAUCUAAAAUUGUCUUUCUGAACCAAUAUAUUGUGAACAUUCAUGUUGUUUUAUAUGUGGGUAUGUAUAUAUAUAAUUAUUUGACUUCAGAUUUUGAAUGUUUCAUAUGUUGAUAAUGAAUGUCUAGUUGUUUAGUUUUUCUUAAGUGGGUUUGCUUUGUUACCAGUUUGAGGUAUUGUCUUCCUUUCAUCCUACUCUAGCAGUUUGUGGGUUUCCUACAGAAGAGGGGCACGUGUUCUAAUUGCAGAAACUGGUUUGUGAUUACGGCUUGCCUCCGUCAAUUAACAAUAGUAUUAAGGAGCAUUGGCCAACUUGUUCCUUGAAAUAAGCAUUGGCCCAUGAAUGAGCCUUAUGGAAAUUGUAGCCUUAUGGAAGAGGAAUUAAAAUUGUUUGAUUUAUUUUUAGUUUAUGUGCUUGUGUAAAGUGUUAAUAGUGCAAUUUGAAAAUUGAAUCAUUAUUUUGUAUUUUGUAUUUUUUUUUUUUUUGAGGAGUUUUAUUUUGCAGAUUUAGUGCAAUUGAAAUUAUACAUUUUCUUUUUAUAUAAAUUGCAGUGUUUUAUAUUUAUUUUUUUUAAA